rnacentral:rRNA from 1 species
GUGGGGAAUCUUGCGCAAUGGGCGAAAGCCUGACGCAGCAACGCCGCGUGGGGGACGAAGGCUCUCGGGUUGUAAACCCCUUUCAGUAGGAACGAUUGUGACGGUACCUACAGAAGAAGCACCGGCUAACUACGUGCCAGCAGCCGCGGUAAUACGUAGGGUGCGAGCGUUGUCCGGAUUUAUUGGGCGUAAAGAGCUCGUAGGCGGUUCAGUAAGUCGGUUGUGAAAACUCCAGGCUCAACCUGGAGCCUGCAUUCGAUACUGCUGUGACUAGAGUCUGGUAGGGGAUCACGGAAUUCCUGGUGUAGCGGUGAAAUGCGCAGAUAUCAGGAGGAACACCGGUGGCGAAGGCGGUGAUCUGGGCCAGUACUGACGCUGAGGAGCGAAAGCGUGGGGAGCAAACAGGAUUAGAAACCCGGGUAGUCC